rnacentral:lncRNA from 1 species
UGUUUACAAAAAAACUGUGUCGAUUAUUUUAAAAGCCUUUAUUGGCUGAGCGUGAAGGUACUACAUAUCUGCAUCAAGUUGUUGGACAACUCCCGAGACCCUAAAACUCUCGCAGUGACUUGCAACGAUAUAGCUGAGUUCAUUCAAAUUCACCCAGCUGGUCGAGGCAUCAUACUUGAUUUGAAGGGCAAAGAGCGUGUGAUGAAUCACCCUAAUCCUCAGACUGCAAAGCAAGCUCUUUUAUGUGUGCAGAAUGUGCUGCUUGGUGCCAAGAAUGCAAUCUACAUCAAACAAAGCAUUUUCUUAUGAAAAUGUUCCGUUGAAAUUUUUAAUAUUGUUUAUUAUUAUCUUAUUAUUUUCUUCGUUCAGCACAUCAUGUACUGGGAAAAUGUGGUCACUUCUGUGAGAUGUUCGUCUGUCUCUGCACGUAGCAUCAACGAUGUACUAGAUUGGGGCGCCUGUUAUGCUCCUACAAUACUGCAAAUAAUGCAUCACACUCAAUUGCAAACCUUUCUUCAAAGCUCUAAUUACUAGAUGCAAUUUGGCUAUCUGGAUAUGAAUUAUGGACCCUUUGAAUGAGCACUUCGCAUGUCUUUGUUUGCGUUGCUUAUUAAUGUUUCUUAUGUUCGUAGCGACUAUCGUUUCGAACAUUUCAUUCGCAGCCUGAGAGUGUUGGGAGUCUGGUUCAGUUUUUAAGAACAUAGCGGGGACAUAUCAGAUAGAAACGUGAAGAAAUUUAGAAAACAGUUGAAUCUGUAUCAUGAUAUGGAAAAGAAACUGUGUUCCCAUACGUACGAAAGCUCUCUGACUUCAAACUCUUUCAAGUGGCCGUCAAGUACAUCAGAUAUUGAAAACAAAAGCAAAUGGAAGAAUCGACUUGUGUACCAAAAUCCACAAAGACGCUCACCAAAAAUGGUUGUUGAAACCAGUCAGUGUCUCGUAUUAAACCACCCUUGUUGAACAUCUAAUAUCAUCGCCGAUGGUGACUACAAUCAGUAAACCCAGUUACUAGCACUCAUGUGGCAUCUACAAUUAUAUCCCAGAAUAUUCUAAACCGAAAGCGUAACCUCCACGCUCUUAGCAGCUCUCUGCUGUAAUUGGGGUUUCCCCAUAGUAUGAACAUAUGAUGUCAUGGUAGCCGUGUCUCUGCAUGCCUCGGUGAGAAAAAAACAGGCCCAUAGUCGCCAUAAUGGUCGACAUUGUUCAGAUUUCAGGGUUCCAAGGGUAGGUUUUAUUGCGAAACAAGGUCUUCGUAACCCAAAGACCCAAAGAAAAGAUUCCUCUACCCUCGGUCGCCCUCUCACUCUCACUCUCCCAAACUCUGAGCGCUAGACCAAGAGCUCACAAAAUUUGUAUUACGAAAAAAAGGUGCUAAUCAAGUGAACUAAGCAGGUUAAUGGGGAACACCGCCUCAUCCUGGGAGUCCUGGGUGGAAGCAGGCUCGUGGCUCGGCGUAGCUGCGUAGCUGCGUAGCACGCAGUCAGAGAGGUGGUCAAAGUGCCAAUGCAGACCGAUUCCUG